GAUUCCAUCACUGAGUUAUUUUUUGUAUUUUGGGGAUGUGAAUAUUUGCAGUACUGAUCUUUUUUUUUUUUUUUGCAGUACUGAUCUAAUCUGUCACUCACCCUUUCUGAAGAAAUGAUGAGUACAUAAAGUAAGCAAGGGUACUUAUUUGGUGAAUUUCAUUCUCAACCUCUCCUGGCCUCCUCAUUCUUCCAAAGCUCUGAAAUCUCAACCCUCAAGAUACACACACACAUAUACAUGUAUACAUACAUGUGGAUAUAGCCUCACAUAUCCUGGAGAACCAUUUGGGUUAGCAAACUCCUCUUAUGGAGUACAAACACAACUUAUUACUCAAUAGUGGUUUCUUUCCAAAGGAGUCUGGAUUUGGAGGUUGAAAGAAAGAAGAACAGAGGAAAAAGAAAAAAAAUUGAGCUUUGUAUCAACAUGGAUCCAAUUUCUGCUCUCCUGUGUCCAUCCUUCCAUCUCCUUCUCUGCCUUUACUACAAGAACUCUGUCACACUACACUUGGAUAACUCUGGAAACUGGGCUGUAAACAGUUUGCAGAACUGGAGAGGUGGCAGACAGAGAAUUAUGAGGAGCUGGAGGAUGAAAAGGAGUCAAGAGAUGAUGAAAGUAAAGAAAAGAAACAUGAAUCCACAUCCAGGACCAAGAGAACUCACUAAUACCAGGGUAAUAUACUGAUGUUGAUGUUUUGAAGAUCUCCAGUAAGAUGUAAGGAGAAUUCAGGAUAAAGGUCCAGAAGCUCAUUAUAAGUAGAGCUUUCUCCCUGAACAAUCUAUUUUUGGAGGUUUGCUGUUGAAUUUCCCUAAGAGAGAUGUAAGCUUCCUUAAGUUUCAGGAAUUGCCUUUUUGGAAUUCCUAAAAAAUGGAAAGGAGUUCCGGAAACAUCCCAGCCUCUCCCCAUUUCUUUCAGUGGAACAUUGAAUGACACCAGCUCCAACAGGUAGAAUGUAAAGCAACCUUUAUAGAUGGUGGGGGAUUGGGGGUGGGAAUAAGGGUUUCUCCUUGGUCUUGACCUCGCUGCACUGUUUUUGUCACAUUUCUCCAAGUCCCCUGGACACAUGCUUAUUUCCAAUGAGGAUUCAACAAUUCACAAGCAACCAGGUGAAAAGCUGACCCCUUGGAGAAGAACUGGCCUGUUGGAGGACAGUGAGCUAAAGAGAGAGGUCCUGGGCAAGAGUGACUCUGUGAAGGAGCAAAGCCAAGAAGAUGAACUGCAGCCCCUCAGUGAGUAUUUAUCAGGCAGCCAACAUGUUCAUGACUUAAGGUGUAUGAGUGUUCCUAGUGUUGGAGAGGUCAACCUCUUUC
rnacentral:lncRNA from 1 species